rnacentral:rRNA from 1 species
UACGUAGGCAGCAAGCGUUGUUCGGAGUUACUGGGCGUAAAGGGUGCGUAGGCGGCUUCUUAAGUCUGGUGUGAAAUCUCCCGGCUCAGCUGGGAGGGUGCGCCGGAUACUGAGGGGCUAGAGUGUGGGAGAGGAAAGUGGAAUUCCUGGUGUAGCGGUGAAAUGCGUAGAUAUCAGGAGGAACACCGGUGGUGUAAACGGCUUUCUGGACCAUAACUGACGCUGAGGCACGAAAGCGUGGGUAGCAAACAGG